rnacentral:misc_RNA from 1 species
GCCAAGGGCAUAUUGUACGCACUCAAGGAUAAAGGAAUAGAUGUUGCGAUAGCAUCUAGGUCACCAACUCCUGAUAUAGCAAAGGCAUUUCUUGAUAAAUUGGGUAUUCAGACCAUGUUUGUGGCCCAGGAAAUAUUCUCUAGUUGGUGCUACAAAAGGGAGCAUUUCCAGAGAAUUCAUAGGAGGACUGGUGUGCCGUAUAAGUCAAUGCUUUUCUUUGAUGACGAGGAUAGGAACAUUGAUGUAGUAUCUCAAAUGGGAGUGACAAGCAUU